GAUGAACGCUGGCGGCGUGCUUAACACAUGCAAGUCGAGCGAUGAAGUUUCCUUCGGGAAAUGGAUUAGCGGCGGACGGGUGAGUAACACGUGGGUAACCUGCCUCAUAGAGUGGAAUAGCCUUCCGAAAGGAAGAUUAAUACCGCAUAACGUUGAAAGAUGGCAUCAUCAUUUAACCAAAGGAGCAAUCCGCUAUGAGAUGGACCCGCGGCGCAUUAGCUAGUUGGUGAGGUAACGGCUCACCAAGGCGACGAUGCGUAGCCGACCUGGAGAGGGUGAUCGGCCACAUUGGGACUGAGACACGGCCCAG
rnacentral:rRNA from 1 species